UUCAAUUUGAUGUGCUGAAAACAGGAAAGUUCUAUAUCCGUUGCUCAUAAGGUUCAAUUAAAAAUAAAAUAAUUUUAAGUUCCAUCCUGUAUAUCCUCCUGCCACGGUAAUAUUUAAAAUUGGCUAUUUUAGUAAAAAGGAGUAAUUUUAGUGGUUUGAGAUUCGUUGUUCAUACAUGAAUUGCAUAAAGGCAUUUUGUUUAUUUGGUGUAAUGAAAAUUACUAAAAAUUUCCAGUCAUUGACUGUGCUUGAAUGAUUUUAUGUGUAAGAUACAUCUCCUAAAGUUUAGCAGAUUAUUUAUAUAAGAAGUGUAUCCGAAUUAUAGAAGAAGCUUACGUUUAAUUAACAAAUGAAGCUUUUUGUGUUCAACCAAGGGAUAGUUCGACAAGGUUGAUGACAUUCCAUGAAGGUGUCUAAUCAGAACACCACAGAAGAACACCUGAUAGCAGAUCGGCCAAUCACAGUCUCAGACGGUGGUCUAUGGAUCGUAAGAAUGGAUAAUGAGCGGCAGAGUUUAAAGAUAAUGAGCAGCAGACACAGGACUCUGUGAGAUUCGGAGACGAUAUAUGGGGAUGACGAUCGGAAGAUAGAGCAGUCUAAGCCAGCACAGCCGAUAGGGUUGUUCCAGUACUCAGGGGCCAGUAGGCCGGUUUCGACCAGCUACGCUAUGUUUCGAUAAGCUUGCUAGUCGUAGUAAUCCAGUUCAACCAGACACGAAUACAUGUUGCAGUUUUGUUGAUAAGAUUCCUCCUAAACUAGAUGACCAUUCCUUAAACCAUCAUGCGUGUUA